UUCGGGAUGCCGGCGAGUGGCGAACGGGUGCGUAACGCGUGGAUACCUGCCCUGAGGUGGGGGACAACAGCUGGAAACGGCUGCUAAUACCGCAUACACCCCAAGGGGUAAAGACUUCGGUCGCCUUGGGAGGGGUCCGCGUCAGAUUAGCUUGUUGGUGGGGUAAAGGCUCACCAAGGCGAUGAUCUGUAGCUGGUCUGAGAGGAUGAUCAGCCACACUGGGACUGAGACACGGCCCAGACUCCUACGGGAGGCAGCAGUGGGGAAUAUUGCGCAAUGGGGGCAACCCUGACGCAGCGAUACCGCGUGGGUGAAGAAGGUCUUCGGAUUGUAAAGCCCUUUCAGUGGGGAAGAUAGUGACGGUACCCACAGAAGAAGCUCCGGCUAACUCCGUGCCAGCAGCCGCGGUAAUACGGAGGGGGCGAGCGUUGUUCGGAAUUACUGGGCGUAAAGGGCGCGUAGGCGGCCUUGUAAG
rnacentral:rRNA from 1 species